GUCUGUGUGCAUUCAAAUGUCAUUUGGAGCCUGAACCAAUAAGAAGAGUCCUAUCAAUCCCACCAAUGGAAAGCAAAUCCUUAGGAAAGCUUUGAGAUCUCCUUCUGAGCUGCUGACUCAUUUCUCCCACCCAGCUUAACAUGUCCAGCAGCAGAAACCACAGAAAACAGUGGAUGAGAAUGGAAAUACAAUUAAUCCUAAGCACUGAAUAAAAUAAACAAAAGAGAAAAGCUUCCUUGGCUUAACAUGUCUUGCAGCAGAAACCACGGAAUACAAUGGAUGAGGAGAAAAAUAAAAUUAAUCCUAAUGACUGAAUACAAUAAACCAAAGAGAAAAGCAUCCUUGGACAGAGAAUUCCAGAUCCUGACAGUGAUCCAAGGUCUCUAAAGAAGAUUAUGGGGCUCCAUAGAUUGUGACAACGCUGACCAGUGAGCCUGAUGCUCAGAUGCUACACAUGCUGCCAGGCAGGACCAGGCUCAGACUGUGGACAGGCUACAGGACACUGGAGAAUUGAUUGCACCACCUUUGCC
rnacentral:lncRNA from 1 species